UUAGGAUUUGCAAUAAUCAUUCAUCCAAGCUCCAUACAGAUAGUUCAUUUACUUCCAAAUAAAUUUCAAUUCAUAUCAAAGAACUCUCAUUUAUCUUUGCUCCAAUUUGACCAUGCAGUGUGCUUUGUAUACAUCAGAAAUUACAUGUAUGUACACUUCCACUCAUAUUUAUGUGCUCUCCCAUUUAGUAAGAAAAAUGAGAAUGAUUUUCUUUCUUCAUAAUCUAUUCAACAUAUAUACACAGGUUGAUAACAAUGACUGUCCUCCUUAUGUUGACUGGAAUUAUUGACUGGUAUGCAGUAAAACAGCUGAGGGAAAGUUCAACUAUUAAUUCAUUUCAGCCGGGUAGUCUGGCAGUAUUAUAGGUAAUCUGGCAGUAAUGGCAUGACAUCAUGAGAGCUAACCAACAUGGUUAAUGGUGUAUAGAGACACUGUCUGAAGACCUCGAGGGAAAGGCAAGGAAAAUGGAUGAUCCACUUCCAAUAUCCCUGUAAAAAAGAGGAAGGAUACCACAAUAUUGACGAUAAAUUAUUGUCAAUUCAAGAAGCAAAGUUGUGAAAAUGCAAAAAUAAUAUUUAAUGUAUUUGUUAGAAAAAUAUCAUUAACUGCAUAUAUAUUUCUUGACCUUAUUCAGGAAUACAUCAGAUGUAGUCAUUCAUAUUAAAACCGAAUCUAUGAAUUUUCAUAACUUUAAUCAAUAAAGUUUACUAUAUUUAUUUUACAUGUAUCUGAUUUCCCUAAUACAUUGUACUCAUGGGAGUUUGCUUGCAUUCAAUGUUCUGACAUGAAUCCGAAAAUGUGCAUAUUUCAUCACAAGAGCCCUCCUGGGCACUAAGCAUGUGUCGUGUAUAAAACCAACUCAAACCAGAUCUACCAACAUAAUAUUUGAAUGAACACAAACGGUCUUAGAUACUCUUUCGUUUCCUCUGCUAUAUAUAUGGAAUUAAACAGCACUAAUUCUUUUUUUUCAAUUUUGUUAAUAUAUACAAGUCAAUUAACUUUUCUCAAACUUUUGAUGCAUAUAAUGGAUUUUCUCUGUACUGCUACAUCUAUGUGCACAGAAUGGAAAUGAUGUAACUAAGAGGAAUAUACCUUAAUCAUGAGCAUAUAUAUUUUGUUCAAUGAUAACAAUUUGAGCAAUGAUCAUAAAUACUCAUGACAUUGGAAUUAUGAAAAGUCAUUGAAAUGCAUGUAUCUACUAGAGUCACUUUCAUACUAAAAAUUCUUCUUAUUAAAUGAGUCACUUAUAAAUGAAAGACUUGUGACGCAAGUAUUAGUUGAUAGAUAAUAAUUUUCAAAUAUCGAUGUUUAAAUUAGGGAGGAUAUCAUUUAUAACUUAGUAGAUAUGAUAUUAAAUUAUUCUCACCCAUA